rnacentral:lncRNA from 1 species
UAUCGCUCCUCGACGAAAGUAUCAUAGAAUAACUUCUCCAUAUGCAUUAACCAUUUCUCGACCACCCAAUGAUCAGCUUUCUCCCCGUCAAAGACACGAGAUUUGCAAUGACGAAACUCAUUCAACCUUUCCAUCAUCCGCUCUCGCUCCUCAACCGCCACCAUCUCUGGUAACAUAGUCCUUGUCGCAGCCACAUGCACUG